CCUGGCUCAGGACGAACGCUGGCGGCGUGCCUAAUACAUGCAAGUAGAACGCUGAAGAGAAGAGCUUGCGCUUCUUGGAUGAGUUGCGAACGGGUGAGUAACGCGUAGGUCACCUUCCUGGUAGCGGGGGAUAACUAUUGGAAACGAUAGCUAAUACCGCAUGAUAUUAAUUGUCGCAUGCUUAUUAAUUGAAAGAUGCAAUUGCAUCACUACCAGAUGGACCUGCGUUGUAUUAGCUAGUUGGUGAGGUAACGGCUCACCAAGGCGACGAUACAUAGCCGACCUGAGAGGGUGAUCGGCCACACUGGGACUGAGACACGGCCCAGACUCCUACGG
rnacentral:rRNA from 1 species